rnacentral:pre_miRNA from 1 species
GCUCAAGUCAUAGCCAUUGUUGUUGUUGGAAUUCCUCUGAAAAGACUCCUAGCCUCCUUGGCAGCCAUAGCAAAAAUGCCAUUAAUUUUUUUGUCGACAUUCUUCUUCCAGCCAGAUUAUCCAUUAGUGGGAGUGGCGGGAUCACAAGAACCAAAGGCAGUCUUCUUCCAUAGAUCAUCCAUCAGUGGCAGUGUUGGGAAUAGGGAACGUGGCAAGCUUGGUAGCAGUGCCUCUUGGGCUCUUGUGAUCUUGCCACUCCCACUGAUGGAUGAUUUGGCUGGAAGAAGAAUGUCGACAAAGGAAUCAACGGCACUGUUGCUAUAUCUGCUAAGGAGGCUAGAAGUCCUUCAAAAGGAAUUCCAACAGCAACAAUGGCUAUGA